rnacentral:lncRNA from 1 species
AUUGAACUUUGAGGAUCAUCUCACAGAAAUCUUAGCCAUACUUGCUCCAUAAAUCAGAUUAUUAGGUCAAUGUCACAGAGAAUAACAGUUUCUCUCUCCCAUUAAAUAGGCUAUGACUCUCUGAGGAACAAGGUGUUUGUUGGAGGAGACUUGCAAAUCUCUUAUUGUGAAUUGUGACUUUCAUAACUCAAUUUCUCCACCUAAAAGAUUGGAAAAAAGGUAUAUGAGCUAUUCCUAUCAAGGCAAUGAGUGAGUAUAACUGAAACUAUGGGUAAAUAAUUUAGGUGAAAUGUAAUCCUAGGAAAAAGGAGAUGAAAAGUUGAGUUAGGAAGCAGUAGAGUGCCAAGGACCAGGAAAAGAGACCCUGAGAAUAAACUGAUUCACAAAAGAGAUUCAGUGUGUUGGUCAUUGGAAAUGGAAGAUGUUUGAGGAGGUUUGACAUUCAGAAAUGGGCCUAAGAUCAAUUAGAAAUGUAUUAGGAGCACAGAAAAGCCUACAACAUGUCAUCCAACUGUUUAGAGUUAUCUAAGUAAUGUGGGGUCAUUGACACUGAGUCAAAACCAUCAGUUCUGAGAGUCUCAGUGUCAACAACAUUCCCCAGUCCUUUGGCACUAGUUCUAAGAGAACUAUCCGAAGUUCAGGAAAGAAACUUCUCCCUGGGAGGAAGAAGGUGUUCUUCCUCUUUUUGAAUAGAGCAAGACAUGCAAAUUGGGUCCCUCCCACUGGAUGAAAAGCAGCCCCAAACCUGUACCUGUACCUCUUGUGGGAGACAAACUCAAGUGCUCUGUGUCCUUCCCCACAGAGGACUAACCUGGAAACUCACCAUGAAAUUUAGGCUGAACUGGAUUUUCCUUCUGACCAUUUUCCAAGGUGUCCAGUGUGAUGUGGAGCUGGUGGAGUCUGGGGGAGAUGUGAUACAGCCUGGGGGAUCUCUGAGCCUCUCCUGCAAAGCUUCUGGAUUUACUUUCAGCAAUUACACAUGAGUUGGGUCCGCCAGGCUUCAGGAAAGGGACUGGAAUGGGUUGCAAGCAUUAGUGGUAGUAGUAGUACAUACUAUGCAGACUCUGUGAAAGGCCGAUUCACCAUCUCCAGAGAUAAUGGCAACAGCAUUAUAUCUACAAAUGACUUCCCUUGAGACUGAGGACACAGCUGUGUAUUACUGUGCAAGAGACACAGUGAGGAAAAGGAAUGUGAGACCUGAUAAAAAACUUCCCCUGCCAGGAGGUGAAGUGUCAGUGAGGCAAGAAGUGGACUGAGCUCAUGAUGCACAAAGUAAAAGAUGCCUAUAUCCAGGAACAGGUAUAGUGAAUUUCUAUUUUGGCUUGUGGUGUUUUUUUUCUCCUGUCCCAGGAGAAAGCAACUUUUCCAGUACCUAGCUAUCAUUCUUAAUGCCUCACUCUCAGUCCCACCUCUACCCCAUAAUUAAUUAGUAGUUAUGUAUCGUCCAUUCUACUUUUAUCAGAAAUCUACUGUACUCUACCUUCUCUCCUGAAGGUACUGCAACCACCCUGAGGUAGUUCUUUCCCAACUCAUACCUGGACUAUUAUGCUAGCUUGAUAUUUGUUCUCCCAGCCUUAGUACUCUCUUCACUCCAGUUCACAGGAAACUCAGCUAUUAAUAUCACCUUCCUGAAACAUAGAUCUGACAGUUUUUCCCAAGUUCUGGUGAAUCCAGAAUAAAAUAUAAGUUCUGAUUUGGCUUUUAAAUCCU